AUUGAACGCUGGCGGCAUGCUUUACACAUGCAAGUCGAACGGUAACAGGCCGCAAGGUGCUGACGAGUGGCGAACGGGUGAGUAAUGCAUCGGAACGUGCCCAGUCGUGGGGGAUAACGCAGCGAAAGCUGCGCUAAUACCGCAUACGAUCUAUGGAUGAAAGCGGGGGACCGUAAGGCCUCGCGCGAUUGGAGCGGCCGAUGUCAGAUUAGGUAGUUGGUGGGGUAAAGGCUCACCAAGCCAACGAUCUGUAGCUGGUCUGAGAGGACGACCAGCCACACUGGGACUGAGACACGGCCCAGACUCCUACGGGAGGCAGCAGUGGGGAAUUUUGGACAAUGGGCGCAAGCCUGAUCCAGCAAUGCCGCGUGCAGGAAGAAGGCCUUCGGGUUGUAAACCGCUUUUGUACGGAACGAAACGGUCCUGGUUAAUACCCGGGGCUAAUGACGGUACCGUAAGAAUAAGCACCGGCUAACUACGUGCCAGCCGCCGCGGUAAGAC
rnacentral:rRNA from 1 species